rnacentral:rRNA from 1 species
GAUGAACGCCGGCGGCGUGCCUAAUACAUGCAAGUCGAGCGAACGGACGAGAAGCUUGCUUCUCUGAUGUUAGCGGCGGAAGGGAGAGUAACACGUGGAUAACCUACCUAUAAGACUGGGAUAACUUCGGGAAAUCGGAGCUAAUACCGGAUAAUAUUUUGAACCGCAUGGUUCCAAAGUGAAAGACGGUCUUGCUGUCACUUAUAGAUGGAUCCGCGCUGCAUUAGCUAGUUGGUAAGGUAACGGCUUACCAAGGCAACGAUGCAUAGCCGACCUGAGAGGGUGGUCGGCCACACUGGAACUGAGACACGGUCCAGACUCCUACGGGAGGCAGCAGUAGGGAAUCUUCCGCAAUGGGCGAAAGCCUGACGGAGCAACGCCGCGUGAGUGAUGAAGGUCUUCGGAUCGUAAAACUCUGUUAUUAGGGAAGAACAUAUGUGUAAGUAACUGUGCACAUCUUGACGGUACCUAAACAGAAAGCCACGGCUAACUACGUG